UACCAGCACCCCGAGUGGUCGGGACGAUUAUUGGGCCUAAAGCAUCCGUAGCCGGUCCUACAAGUCUUCCGUUAAAUCCACCUGCUUAACAGAUGGGCUGCGGAAGAUACUAUAGGGCUAGGAGGCGGGAGAGGCAAGCGGUACUCAGUGGGUAGGGGUAAAAUCCUCUUAUCCACUGAAGACCACCAGUGGCGAAGGCGGCUUGCCAGAACGCGCUCGACGGUGAGGGAUGAAAGCUGGGGGAGCAAACCGG
rnacentral:rRNA from 1 species